UAAAUUAGAGAGAAAGAAAGAACAAAAAAAAAAAAAAAAAAGGGAAAGAAAGAGAGAGGGUUCGGCCAAGGUAUGGCCAAGCAUGGCCAUGGGAGAUUUGAUCAAGAAAAAUUAUUUCUUUCAAGCUUUUAUACUAAGUGGAAGGUUCUCUACAACGUGGAGUAUUCGUUGGAACAAGUGAAUCAUUCGUUUCGCAAAAAUGAGGUUCUAGCCGGGAAAAGGAACUAGUGCUAAGAUUAACAAGUUGGACGAAUAAGCGUAGCUAGUAAGGCGCGGCGCAGGUACACCCAGAUGAGCUGAGGCCCUUAUAGAAGAUGUUCCAGCGAAGUUGGCGAGCUCCAAUUAGCCCGGGAGUGUAGCCGAGUCAGUGUAUAUGUGCCAUGGUUUCCGAUUGCAGUUAGAGACUUUGCAGACAGAGUCGUGGGUAUAGAGCGUCAGCUUUGUAGACGGCUUCGCCUGUCAAUAUGUUAUUACGUUUCAUGUCACGCGUUCCAUAUGAUGAUACACUCUCCAAAAAAAAAAAAUU